UGAUGAGCUUCUCCCUCCCUAAAUUCCUUGAAAAUUUUGCCGUUUCAGAUGGGACAGGAACCGGAAUCAGCUUCCUCAACAGACCGUAUGCAGUAUGCACAUAAUCAAUGAAUAAGAAAACUAACCACUAAGCAGAAACAGAUUUCGAAUGGGAAUUUCAAAUCAUUCUUCAAUUGAAUUGUUGUUUCCUUUGAAACUCUGUUGGCGCCGAUACUCAAGCAAUCCCAACCUCGCGACAUGGUUCAACAAAUACGUUGAUAAAUCCAACGUCCAUUCGUGGAACUCGGUAAUUGCCGAUUUGGCCCGCGGCGGCGAUUCGGUUGAAGCUCUUCGCGCCUUCUCCUCCAUGCGAAAGCUGGCCCUAAGCCCCAGCCGGUCAAGUUUCCCCUGCGCCAUCAAAUCCUGUUCGGCUUUGUGCGAUCUCGUCGCCGGCAAGCAGACCCACCAGCAAGCCUUCGUCUUCGGCUUCGACACUGAUCUUUUUGUCUCGUCUGCGCUUAUUGAUAUGUACUCGAAAUGCGGCCAACUGAAGGAUGCACGACAACUGUUCGACGAAAUUCCUCUGCGAAAUGUGGUCUCCUGGACGUCCAUGAUUACUGGGUACAAUACAGGAUCUCUUAUUSUAAUACUGUCUUACAGGUACGUCCAAAACGAGCAAGCAGACAAUGCGUUGUUGCUUUUCAAGGAUUUUUUGGAGGAGGAAACAGAGGUUGAAGAUGGCAAUAAGAUUCCUCUAGAUCCCGUCGUCAUGGUUUCGGUUUUAUCGGCCUGUUCUCGAGUAUCAGAAAAGGGAAUCACUGAAGACGUUCAUGGGUUUGUGAUAAAAGAAGGCUUUGAUGGGAAUGUUGGAGUUGGCAACACGUUGAUUGAUGCAUAUGCAAAAUGCGGGCAGCCUUUGGUUUCUAGGAAGGUGUUUGAUGGGAUGGAAGAGAAGGAUGAAAUUUCUUGGAACUCAAUGAUUGCAGUGUAUGCUCAAAGUGGGUUGUCUGAGGAGGCUUUGGAGGUUUUUCAUGGAAUGGUGAGGCAUGAUGGCGUUCGCUACAAUGCGGUGACCUUAUCCGCUGUUUUGUUGGCUUCUGCUCAUGCCGGGGCAUUGAGGGCGGGCAAGUGUAUUCAUAAUCAGGUUAUAAAGAUGGAUUUGGAGGAAAAUGUGUGUGUUGGUACCUCUAUAAUUGACAUGUAUUGCAAAUGUGGAAGAGUUGAAAUGGCAAAGAAAACAUUUGAUCGAAUGAAGGAGAAGAAUGUAAAGUCGUGGACGGCCAUGGUUGCUGGUUAUGGCAUGCACGGCUGCGCCAAAGGAGCUCUUGACAUCUUCUACAAGAUGAUUCAGGCCAGAGUGGAGCCAAAUUACAUCACUUUUGUAUCUGUUCUUGCUGCGUGCAGCCAUGCCGGUUUGGUAGAKGAAGGCUGGCACUGGUUUAAUGCCAUGAAGUAUAAAUACGAUAUCGAGCCCGGCAUCGAGCAUUAUGGUUGCAUGGUUGAUCUUUUCGGACGUGCAGGAUGUCUCAGUGAGGCUUACAAUUUAAUCAAGGGAAUGAGGAUGAAGCCUGAUUUUGUAGUAUGGGGCUCUCUUCUUGGGGCUUGUAGAAUCCACAAGAAUGUGGACCUUGGCGAGAUUGCCGCUCAAAAAUUGUUUGAACUUGAUCCGGAUAAUUGUGGGUACUAUGUUUUACUUUCAAACCUUUAUGCAGAUGCUGGACGUUGGGCAGAUGUCGAAAGGAUGAGAACUCUAAUGAAGAACCGCCAACUUGUUAAACCGCCCGGCUUCAGUUUGGUCGAACUGAAAGGCAGAGUUCACGUUUUUCUGGUUGGAGAUAAAGAGCAUCCUCAACAUGAGAUGAUUUACAAGUAUUUGGAGAAACUAACUUUGGAGCUUCAAAAGAUAGGCUAUGUGCCAAACAUGACAUCAGUUCUUCAUGAUGUUGAUGAAGAGGAAAAAGAAAUAAUCUUGAGGGUUCACAGUGAGAAACUCGCUGUUGCUUUUGGAGUGAUGAACUCUGCAGCUGGAACAACCAUAAGCAUCAUUAAAAACCUUAGGGUCUGUGGAGACUGUCAUACUGUCAUUAAGUUAAUUUCGAAAGUCGUUCAUCGAGAGUUUGUGGUCCGAGAUUCAAAAAGAUUUCAUCAUUUCAAGGACGGAUUAUGUUCUUGUGGAGAUUAUUGGUGACACUUCUGAAGGACUUGAUUGGGUACUUUGAAUUGAUUCAAUCAGAUUGUCAGGUGCGGGACGAAGCUAAUGAUGCUUCAUAUAAACAGUCCCAGCUAUACUCGAGUAAGCGAUAACAGUACAUGUCAUUAUUCUGAAGGGAAAAUGUUCUUAAGUUUACCAAAGAAUGACAAGAAGAUUGGUUUUUCUCUCGGUUGAUUUGGUAGAUCAAAGCUUACAUGUUUCAUAGGCUUGAAUCUAAAAUUUAUCUUGCUAGAAGCUUAUAUGCAGCUGAUAGCUACUCUAUAAAUUGUCAGCUGCUUAAUUUUACGAAACAAUUUUUUGAAGGCACACAAGGGUGAAGUAUCUGAACUAUCGCGAGCCCUCGGAUCUUAUUAAACAAACACGACAUAUGCUCAAAAGAAAUCCGCAAAGGGGCAGCUCCAUUUGACUUCAAUUAUUUGAAUAACAUUUUCAAUUACAGAUCACAGACUAUUGGGUAUGAUUGGAUUGAAUGUGGAAGGAAUCUGUUGUUGAACAACUGAAGUUCAGAUCAAGAACAACCCCACCCCAAAAGCUUGUUCGAAAUCGUUUCUGCMAGUCGUGAUAUUGGAGAGCGAUAUGGCUUUGACCUUUCUUUGGGGAAUCUGAGAGAACUCUGGAGGGACCUGUUCUCACUCUUUAGGAAUUUUAUCUGUUGGUGAAGCUCUUUAAUGGCCUCUCUCUUUUCAUUGUUUCUCCUGGUUAACUCCUCCUGAUGCUGCAGAUUUUCCUCCAUGAGCACUGUCACCUUUGAGUUUAGUUCAUUCCAUGUACUCUCCCACUGGGCAAUAGCCACCAAUGGAUGUACAUCUUUAACCCGUUGUAGUUCAAACUUGUUCAUCUUUAACUCGGUAUCGUCUAUCUCAGCACGAGCCGCGAUGCUUCCAUACAUUUUGUCAUCUCUUGCUUCAACUAUUUCAUCAGAAUUAUGAUUACAUGUCUUACUUGAAACCAAUUCAUCUCUUAGCUUGAUCAGGAACUCUUUGUCCAAGAUGUCAUUGUUACAUUUGAGGCUGCCAUCGACAGAGACGGAUUUGAGGCCYGGACAUUUGAUAUUGCAUCGGAAUAUUUCGGCGUCUGAAGGCGUGGAYGACCCAGAAAAGAGAAUGUUAACAAAUAUGAACUUCAAAUAGUCGUAUUUUUCAGCCAAGGAUUGUGUGCAGGAAUGAAGAGGACUGUCGGAGCUGCUUGAAUCUGYUAAGCAAAGGAAGCUUUGUUUUUCCAUGGCGACGUUUUUUCUGAAUAACAGUGAAAGCAAAAGACAAGGCAGAGGGAAAACUAAAGAAUAUAGAAGCCUGAAAAUGGAGGUUGACAAGGUUGAUCCAGACCAUGCACGUCCAAAAAGAGCUUAUUUAUAUAUAAAUCACUUUGUAAUCUUAUGCUUGCCAAUUUGUCGAUAAUAUCAUGUGUUUCCCCCUUAUUUAUUAGGACGAGUGAUUCGGUAAUUUUCGAAUUUGGAAUUUUGUCCCCAUGCUCGACAUGUUACUGUUCUAUAUUUAUGAUAUAAUUCUCUGAUUCUGAUA